GACGAACGCUGGCGGCGUGCUUAACACAUGCAAGUCGAACGGAAAGGCCCUGCUUUUGUGGGGUGCUCGAGUGGCGAACGGGUGAGUAACACGUGAGUAACCUGCCCUUGACUUUGGGAUAACUUCAGGAAACUGGGGCUAAUACCGGAUAGGAGCUCCUGCUGCAUGGUGGGGGUUGGAAAGUUUCGGCGGUUGGGGAUGGACUCGCGGCUUAUCAGCUUGUUGGUGGGGUAGUGGCUUACCAAGGCUUUGACGGGUAGCCGGCCUGAGAGGGUGACCGGCCACAUUGGGACUGAGAUACGGCCCAGACUCCUACGGGAGGCAGCAGUGGGGAAUAUUGCAAAAUGGGCGGAAGCCGGAUGCAGCAACGCCGCGUGCGGGAUGACGGCCUUCGGGUUGUAAACCGCUUUCGCCUGUGACGAAGCGUGAGUGACGGUAAUGGGGAAGAAGCACCGGCUAACUACGUG
rnacentral:rRNA from 1 species